rnacentral:rRNA from 1 species
AACGAACGCUGGCGGCAGGCUUAACACAUGCAAGUCGAACGGGCACCUUCGGGUGUCAGUGGCAGACGGGUGAGUAACGCGUGGGAACGUACCCUUCGGUUCGGAAUAACCCAGGGAAACUUGGGCUAACACCGGAUACGUCCGCAAGGAGAAAGAUUUAUCGCCGAAGGAUCGGCCCGCGUCGGAUUAGCUAGUUGGGGGGGUAAUGGCCCACCAAGGCGACGAUCCGUAGCUGGUCUGAGAGGAUGAUCAGCCACACUGGGACUGAGACACGGCCCAGACUCCUACGGGAGGCAGCAGUGGGGAAUAUUGGACAAUGGGCGAAAGCCUGAUCCAGCCAUGCCGCGUGAGUGAAGAAGGCCUUAGGGUUGUAAAGCUCUUUC